rnacentral:lncRNA from 1 species
UUUAGCUCCAGAUUGACUGCAAGAACAAACAAGCAGUCCUGAGAGGACCCACAGACCCUCUGAAGCAAGUGGACUUCUCCUGCAGGACCCAGGAGACACCCCAAAUACCCUGGGAGGCGGAAAGCCCCGGGCAGGUUUUCAAGCCGUAUCGCCCUCUGACUGGAAAAAGACUCAGGGCUCUUGCAGAGGGCACAGUGUGAAUGAGACUAGUCUUUCAGAUUCUGUGGGAGCUGGGUGACGCCUGUGACUGCUGGCUUUCCCCCACUUCCCAGACAACCUGCAUGACUCAGCAGAGGCAGCCAUAAUCCUCCUAAGUACACAACUCCAGUGACCUGGGAAUCUCACUCCCGUCCCCACAGCAGCCGCAGCAAGACCCACCCAAGGAGAGUCUGAGCUCAGACAUGCCUAGCCCUGCCCGCACCUGAUGGUCCUUCCCUACGCACCCUGGUAGCGGAAGACAAAGGGCAUACAAUCUUGGGAGUUCUAGGGCCCUGCCCACCGUUGGUCCCUCUCCACACUACUACAGCUGAUGCAUUCUGGAAAGCAGCAUCUUCUGGCAGGAGACCAGGCAGCACAAAAACAGAGCAUUAAACCACCAAAGCUAAGGACCCUCACGGAGUCCAUUGCACCCUCUGCCACCUCCACUGGAACAGGCGCUGGUAUCCACAGCUGAGAGGCCCAUAGAUGGUUCACAUUACAGGACUCUGUGCAGACAACCCCCAGUAUCAGCCUGGAGCCAGGUAGACUUGCUGGAUAGCUAGACCCAGAAGACAGACAACAAUCACUGCAGUUUGGCUCACAGGAAGCCACAUCCACGGGAAAAGGGGGAGAGCACUACAUCAAGGGAACACCCCAUGGGAUGAAAAAAUCUGAACAACAGCCUUCAGCCCUAGACCUUCCCUCUGACAGAGCCUACCCGAAUGAGAAGGAACCAGAAAACCAACCCUGGUAAUAUGACAAAACAAGGUUCUUCAACAUCCC